CUGAAAUCUCUCCGCUUCAAGUGAACCAUAUAGCUAGACAAACUGUUUUGGGUUUGCCUGGGCUGACAUGGGAAGUCACCUAUCUCUACCAACGCAUAAACAAUGGAUCUAGUGAUUACCUGGUUUGGGAAACAGCCAGAGGGGCUUAUCCAGCCUUCCUGUUCUCGGCCCUGCAUUCAAGUCCUAUUGACAAGCACGAAGG
rnacentral:lncRNA from 11 species